AUUGAACGCUGGCGGCAGGCCUAACACAUGCAAGUCGAGCGGAUGACGGGAUCUUGCUCCUUGAUUCAGCGGCGGACGGGUGAGUAAUGCCUAGGAAUCUGCCUGGUAGUGGGGGACAACGUUCCGAAAGGAGCGCUAAUACCUCAUACGUCCUACGGGAGAAAGUGGGGGAUCUUCGGACCUCACGCUAUCAGAUGAGCCUAGGUCGGAUUAGCUAGUUGGUGAGGUAAAGGCUCACCAAGGCGACGAUCCGUUACUGGUCUGAGAGGAUGAUCAGUCACACUGGCACUGAGACACGGGCCAGACACCUACGGGAAGCAGCAGUGGGGAAUAUUGGACGAAGGGCGAAAGCCUGAUCCAGCCAUGCCGCGUGUGUGAAGAAGGUCUUCGGAUUGUAAAGCACUUUAAGUUGGGAGGAAGGGCAGUAAGUUAAUACCUAGCUGUUUUGACGUUACCGACAGAAUAAGCACCGGCUAACUCUGUG
rnacentral:rRNA from 1 species